rnacentral:rRNA from 1 species
CAGUGAGCCGCGUGGUGACGAUGUCUUCGGAGUGUAAUCACUGUAUGUGGGGAGGAAGGGUAUAAGUAAUACCUUGCGGUGUCGCCAUUACCAACAGAAUAAGCCCGGCUAACUUCGUGCCAGCAGCCGCGGUAAUACGAAGGGUGCAAGCGUUAAUCGGAAUUACUGGGCGUAAAGCGCGCGUAGGUGGUUCAGCAAGUUGGAUGUGAAAUCCCCGGGCUCAACCUGGGAACUGCAUCCAAAACUACUGAGCUAGAGUACGGUAGGGGUGGUGGAAUUUCCUGUGUAGCGGUGAAAUGCGUAGAUAUAGGAAGGAACACCAGUGG